rnacentral:rRNA from 1 species
GACGGGUGCGUAACACGUGAGGAACAUGACUUUCGGCGGGGGAUAGCCGGCCCAACGGCCGGGUAAUACCGCGUACGACCUUUCGGGGACAUCCCCGGUUGGUGAAAGCAGCAAUGCACCGAAAGAGUGCCUCGCGGCCUAUCAGCUAGUUGGUGGGGUAACGGCUCACCAAGGCGACGACGGGUAGCUGGUCUGAGAGGAUGGCCAGCCACAUUGGGACUGAGACACGGCCCAGACUCCUACGGGAGGCAGCAGUGGGGAAUACUGCGCAAUGGGCGAAAGCCUGACGCAGCGACGCCGCGUGUGGGAUGACGGCCUUCGGGUUGUAAACCACUGUCGGGAGGGACGAAUGCGCCGCAAGGCGAGUGACGGUACCUCCAAAGGAAGCACCGGCUAACUCCGUGCCAGCAGCCGCGGUAAUACGGAGGGUGCGAGCGUUGUCCGGAAUCACUGGGCGUAAAGGGCGCGUAGGCGGCCUGAUAAAUACGGGGUGAAAUCC